UUUUGCACUAUAUAUAUACACACACAACAUGCGAUAUGUCGUAUUGUGUUGCGUGCGGUGAGUUUCUUUGUCGUUUCGUGAUUCAUACCGAACCCUAACGCAACCAUGUCGACCAAGCAAGGUGGAAAAGCUAAGCCUUUGAAGAAACCCAAGUCUGAUAAGAAAGAUUACGACGAGGUAUAUUGUUGAAAUUUAAAUUAUUCUGGGUCUUAGUUAUUUUCUACUUUUUUUUAUAUUUAAUUUGGUGUGAUAAAGAACAUGGUUUUCGAAGUUGAUGUAAUUUUUUUGAGAAUUAUGUAUAAAGUUUAAGGAAGAGGUAGAAGAGAAAUUGAGGACUGGUUUGAAUUAUUUGGUGUUUUUUUAUUUAAAACUUUUCUGCAGGUUUGAUCUUAUAGAUAUCUUGAAAAUUUGUGUGAACUUCAGUUGUGUGUAAAGAAACAUUAAAUUGAAAUUCUCAAAUUGGGGUUUUGUUGUUUUCUAUUUUUAAAUUUUUUAUGUUAAAUUGAUGUGAUGAAAGAAUAGAGUUUUCUUGAUUGAUUUGAUUAGAGAAUUAGUAAUAAGCUUUUAAGGUAAACUGAAGCAGAGAAUUAUGAUGUUGAGCUUAGUUUGGUUAUUCGGUUUUUUUUUUGGAAUUUAACUUUCUGAAUGUGUUGAUUUUAUAGCUUUGCAUCUUGAUAUUUGCGUCGAGUUAAUGAUGCAUUAAAUUGAAAUCCUAGAAUUACGAAUUAGUUUUCUUCUGAUCGAUGACAUUAUCUGUGGGUAUGGUAAGAAGACUUGCGCUUCUCGUUGAUUUCAGUGCCUUAAUCCGUUGCAAUGGCAAAGGACAUGAUCUUUUGGUUUCUUGCUUUUGUUUCUAUACUUGUAUAAUUCUUCGUACUUGGGGUCGAUUCGUGCUUAAGGCGAACCUUUGUUUUGAGUACUGGUCUCUCCCCCCCCUUAAGAUGUGCUUGUGCUAUAUAUUGUCCUUUGAUCAGUCUUCAAGAUGAACUGUUGUCUGAUGACCAAAUUCGCGUGUUUCCUAUUUCGAUUUUCACUCUGGCCAAUUAUUACUUUUAUGACCAUAUUAGCUUGUUUAGAAUCAGAUCAUGGUUCUCUUAAGAUCUCUAGUUGAGUCCCAUGAAUGAAGCAUUACAAUAUCUUCAUAAUUGUUUAUUUGUUUUGAAAUGUUAGUUUCUACUUUGUAGCAUGAUUGAUAUAUGCUUCCGUAUUGCGUUGGUGAAAUCAUGCACAGACAGACACGGCCUUAUGCGAACAUUUAAAUCUGAUUGACAUGGCUAACAUUCAGAAGAAAAAGGAAGAGGAGAAGGCGCUAAAGGAGUUGAAAGCGAAGGCGUCACAGAAGGGAAGUUUCGGAGGUUCUGGGCUGAAGAAGAGUGGAAAGAAAUGAAAACUCCAUCAUUGAGCUUUGUUACCAUGAAGACAUUUAUCUCUUACUGUGUCCUACUUUAUCACUUAGGUGUGUCAAUAUGUAAAACACAAUAAAUUACUUGUUUGUUUUCUGUGUGUUGAAAUACACUACUUGAUUUCACAGACAUUGGUACUGGUACUUUUUGCAUUUAAGAUAUUCAUAGCCAAUAGUUGUGGGUUUUAUUUUUAAAGAUAAAGAAGCUUUUUUUACAUAUGAAGCAACAAUUGAACUCUUAUUAGUAUGUUC